rnacentral:rRNA from 1 species
GAUGAACGCUGGCGGCGUGCCUAAUACAUGCAAGUCGAGCGAACGGACGAGAAGCUUGCUUUUCUGAUGUUAGCGGCAGACGGGUGAGUAACACGUGGAUAACCUACCUAUAAGACUGGGAUAACUUCGGGAAACCGGAGCUAAUACCGGAUAAUAUUUUGAACCGCAUGGUUCAAAAGUGAAAGACGGUCUUGCUGUCACUUAUAGAUGGAUCCGCGCUGCAUUAGCUAGUUGGUAAGGUAACGGCUUACCAAGGCAACGAUGCAUAGCCGACCUGAGAGGGUGAUCGGCCACACUGGAACUGAGACACGGUCCAGACUCCUACGGGAGGCAGCAGUAGGGAAUCUUCCGCAAUGGGCGAAAGCCUGACGGAGCAACGCCGCGUGAGUGAUGAAGGUCUUCGGAUCGUAAAACUCUGUUAUUAGGGAAGAACAUAUGCGUAAGUAACUGUGCACAUCUUGACGGUACCUAAUCAGAAAGCCACGGCUAACUACGUG